ACCGGCAGCCCGAGUGGUGAUCACUAUUAUUGGGUCUAAAGGGUCCGUAGCCGGUUUAAUCAGUCUUCUGGGAAAUCUAAUCGCUUAACUAUUAGGCUUCCAGGGGAUACUGUUAGACUUGGGACCGGGAGAGGUAAGAGGUACUGCAGGGGUAGGAGUGAAAUCUUGUAAUCCCUGUGAGACCACCAGUGGCGAAGGCGUCUUACCAGAACGGGUCCGACGGUGAGGGACGAAAGCUGGGGGCACGAACCGGAUUAGAUACCCGGGUAGUCCCAGCUGUAAACGAUGCUCGUUAGGUGUCAGGAACGGUGCGACUGUUUCUGGUGCCGAAGGGAAGCCGUGAAACGAGCCACCUGGGAAGUACGGCCGCAAGGCUGAAACUUAAAGGAAUUGGCGGGGGAGCACUACAACGGGUGGAGCCUGCGGUUUAAUUGGACUCAACGCCGGAAAACUCACCGGGGGCGACAGCAAUAUGUAGGUCAGGUUAAAGGUCUUACCUGAAUCGCUGAGAGGAGGUGCAUGGCCGUCGUCAGUUCGUACUGUGAAGCAUCCUGUUAAGUCAGGCAACGAGCAAGACCCGUGCCCACUGUUACCAGCAUAUCCUUUAUGGAUGAUGGGGACUCUGUGGGGACCGCUGCUGCUAAAGCAGAGGAAGGUGCGGGCUACGGUAGGUCAGUAUGCCCCGAAUCUCCCGGGCUACACGCGGGCUACAAUGGUUGGGACAAUGGGUAUCUACUCCGAAAGGAGUUGGCAAUCUCUUAAACCCAAUCGUAGUUCGAAUUGAGGGCUGAACUCGCCCUCAUGAAGCAGGAAUCCGUAGUAAUCGCGUUUCAACAUAGCGCGG
rnacentral:rRNA from 1 species